rnacentral:lncRNA from 1 species
AUCAGUAACCAAUCUCACGGUAAUCGGACCCCAAGUCAUGGAGAAUGUAGAGAGUGAGAUCAUCAUUAGAGAUUGGAUUAUCAAUUAGGGCAAUUUUGUCUAUAAGUGACUUUACCAUAUGAAGGUAUUCUUGAAUGCUUUUGUUGUGUCUUUCUUAAUCAAAGUGAGUUCUUCUUUGAGUUGCAUAGCUCUGGUGCAAGACUUACUUUCGUACAUAUUGUGUAACUUUUGCCAUGCUUCCUUUGAAGUUUUGGCGGCCGAGAUAAAUGAGGUGAUUAUGGUGGUGGUAGAAGCUAGGAUGGCACUAAGGAUCGGUUUAUCCUGUCUGACCUAGUGGGCUUUUUGAAGAGAUGAUUCAGGAUUGGCAUUGGGUACAGGAUAGGGGUGAUCACUAGUGACAUAAUCUAGAAGAUUAUAUUCGAUUAGAAGGGCCUCAACUGUGAAUGCUACUAAGGAAAAGUGGAAGGGGUGAGCUUGUCAUUUAGUUGAGCACAGAUGUUUAGGGCAAUUAGGGGGGUUUCGAUUGGGGAUGGUGGUGUUGAGAUUGGAGUGUGGGAAGUGAGGAUCGAAUUCUCGUUGGAGGGGACUGCUCCUGAUAUCAUGAUGGAACUUUAAUUUUAAAUGUAUAUCGAUAAAUGAAUUACAAUAUAGCAUUGAAUUUUUUGCAGAAAAAUCAUAUGCUCUAUAUAUACAAAGAUUGAAAAACUAUUUUAGGAAGAGAAUAUUGUUCUAGAGAAGCUAGCUAGAAUUGUGGCCGUGAGAUUGGUGACUGAUGCGGGGCUUGAUUCUUGUGAUUGAUUGGCUGUUAUACCCUUGAAUCUCACCUAAUUAUUUUUGUUGUAAUCUGUUUCUUGAUUUGUGGCACGAUCUCUAAUAAGGUGGCCACUUCAGAUUGUUGUCCAAGAGGAUUUGAUUUUGUCAAUAGUUUGGUACUUUGGGUUCUAGAUUAGCCAAGUUUGUAAUGUUUUGAUUUAAAUUUUGUCACUUGGUUUGGAUUACUAGAUCAUUGGAUCUUUAUAAUGUUUUACUUUGAAUGCCCGG